UGAUUACUUCCCGCUCUAAAGUCUGCCGGUAUCCGUUCUUGUUUUGAAUUCUAUUGCGUCGUUUGGUGUACUUCUACGCGUGGAGAAUUUUUCAUUAAUCUUGUUUAGCAACUUUCUUCCUCAGUGCAUUUAAGGGUUUGCUGUUUCCAAGGAUUUUUGUGGUUGGAUUUUUUUAGGACUUUCAUAGAAUCCAUACUGUAUGAACAUCUUCCGUGAACAGGUUCCGAUUUAACUUAAAUAUCUUAGCGGUUUUUAGUAAUCAUUUUUGUGGAAACAUAGAAGGUGGGGAAAUGCGCAAAUGCGUUAAUGCACCGGAUAUCGCAAUACAGUUAUACAAUACACGAUCUUUUUCUCCAUAUUCCGUGGUAACUGAGCGCGGAAAAUGUAAAUUUUACGCAUUUGACAAGCUAGCAAGGUCAACCAUAUUUACUAAGAAGUUCCUUUUCUUUGCAAUGUAACAAUUAGAAUGGACGAAGCGUUUUUUUUGCAAGUUUCUUCAGCCAUUGUUGACGUCUUCGAAACCAUCAACUCGGCAUCACUUGGUAACCAAACGGGCCAA